UACGUAGGGUGCGAGCGUUAAUCGGAAUUACUGGGCGUAAAGCGUGCGCAGGCUGUUUGGCAAGUCAGAUGUGAAAUCCCCGGGCUCAACCUGGGAACUGCGUUUGAAACUGCCAGACUAGAAUAGGUCAGAGGGGGGUAGAAUUCCACGUGUAGCAGUGAAAUGCGUGGAGAUGUGGAGGAAUAUCAAUGGCGAAGGCAGCCCCCUGGGAUCAUAUUGACGCUCAUGCACGAAAGCGUGGGGAGCAAACAGG
rnacentral:rRNA from 1 species